rnacentral:rRNA from 1 species
UGCCAGCAUCCGCUGUACCCCUUAUGGUCCAGUCGUUGUCCGGAUUUAUUGGGCGUAAAGAGCUCGUAGGUUGUUCGGUAAGUCGGAUGUGAAAACUCGAGGCUCAACUUCGAGACGCCAUCCGAUACUGCUGUGACUGGAGUCCGGUAGAGGAGUGUGGAAUUCCUGGUGUAGCGGUGAAAUGCGCAGAUAUCAGGAGGAACACCAACGGCGAAGGCAGCACUCUGGGCCGGUACUGACACUGAGGAGCGAAAGCGUGGGGAGCAAACAGGAUUAGAUA